rnacentral:misc_RNA from 1 species
GAUGAAGAACGCAGCGAAAUGCGAUAAGUAAUGUGAAUUGCAGAAUUCAGUGAAUCAUCGAAUCUUUGAACGCACAUUGCGCCCGCCAGUAUUCUGGCGGGCAUGCCUGUUCGAGAGUCAUUUCAACCAUCAAGCCCUGCUUGCGUUGGGGUCCUGCGGCUGCCCGCAGGCCCUGAAAACCAGUGGCGGGCUCGCUAGUCACACCGAGCGCAGUAAUACAUCUCGCUUUGGGCGUGCGGCGGGUUCUUGCCGUUAAACACCCCCUUUUUACCAAGGUUGACCUCGGAUCAGGUAGGAAUACCCGCUGAACUUAAGCAUAUCAAUAAGCGGAGGA